UACGAAGGGGGCUAGCGUUGUUCGGAAUUACUGGGCGUAAAAGCGCACGUAGGCGGAUUGUUUAGUUAGGGGUGAAAUCCCGGGGCUCAACCCCGGAACUGCCUUUAAUACUGGCAAUCUAGAGUCCGAGAGAGGUGAGUGGAAUUCCGAGUGUAGAGGUGAAAUUCGUAGAUAUUCGGAGGAACACCAGUGGGCGAAGGCGGCUCACUGGCUCGGUACUGACGCUGAGGUGCGAAAGCGUGGGGAGCAAACAGG
rnacentral:rRNA from 1 species